rnacentral:rRNA from 1 species
AUUAGAUACCCGGGUAGCAAUCUGGAGCUCGCCUUGCUCGAUAUCAAACCCGCUGUAGUCGGUG